GGCAGUUUGGUUUGUGACUGGAGCAGGACGUGAGUGAGGUUUUAUAGAUCCAUAUGCCUGGCUGUUCUGAGCUUAUCAUCCCUGUGCUGAUGAGGCCAUUGCGGUCAGUGGGGCAGAGUGGAUCUCUUUUGUAGGGUUCCUGUUAUGGCCAGGAUACAGGGGUUUUGUGAGGUCUAAGGCAAGAUCCCUCAGUUUCAGAGGCUCAGAACUGGGUUUGUCGGGAGGCGGAGAUGGAACAGGAAGAUGAGAAGAGGCUAGACGAGGUCCAGACAGCUCCCCAUCACACCCCGGCGUUAGGAGCACGCCUUUCUCCUCUUCCUUUAUCGGAUCAAAGUCUUCCAUCAA